rnacentral:lncRNA from 1 species
GUGUGGGUGUUGUGGUUUGGACUCUUUCUUCUUGUUUUUCGGUUUUGAUGCUUGAAACAAGGAUGGGAUUAGAUCUUGGUGUUAUUAUGGUGGCUGGACAGAACUGGAGUUGAUGGCUUAGGUAUUAUUUUCGUUUUUGGCAAGGAAGCUUGAAAAAAUGGAAGAUUUGGUUGGGUUGAAGUAGCAUAUGUUGAGUUUAUUGUUCUUGUGUUGAUUUGGAAUUUGAACUUUGGUCUCUUGGGUUUAUGUUUCUGUACUAUGGAGGAAGAAAACAUGAAUGGUGUGUUGGUAGAGAAAGAAAAACGAAAAUGGAGAUAGGAAGGAGGAGAGAAGGUGCAUUAAAGUUUUUACCCGAUUUGGACCAACACAAAAAAUUCUUGUUUUGACUCAUAUAAUGUUUCCACUUUGAGAUUUGGCCUUUGUUUGUUCCAGUCGUGAAUUGCAAGGAUGGUGAAAGGUUUUUGGAGUUUGUUUUCAUUUGGUUUUGCUUACAUGGCAUCUUG